GAUGAACGCUGGCGGCGUGCCUAAUACAUGCAAGUCGAGCGAAUGAAUUAAGAGCUUGCUCUUAUGAAGUUAGCGGCGGACGGGUGAGUAACACGUGGGUAACCUGCCCAUAAGACUGGGAUAACUCCGGGAAACCGGGGCUAAUACCGGAUAACAUUUUGAACCGCAUGGUUCGAAAUUGAAAGGCGGCUUCGGCUGUCACUUAUGGAUGGACCCGCGUCGCAUUAGCUAGUUGGUGAGGUAACGGCUCACCAAGGCAACGAUGCGUAGCCGACCCGAGAGGGUGAUCGGCCACGCUGGGACUGAGACACGGCCCAGACUCCUACGGGAGGCAACAGUAGGGAAUCUUCCGCAAUGGACGAAAGUCUGACGGAGCAACGCCGCGUGAGUGAUGAAGGCUUUCGGGUCGUAAAACUCUGUUGUUAGGGAAGAACAAGUGCUAGUUGAAUAAGCUGACACCUUGACGGUACCUAACCAGAAAGCCACGGCUAACUACGUGCCAGCCGCCGCUGUAA
rnacentral:rRNA from 1 species